GUUGAACUGACGCACGGACGGACACUGAAAGUUUAACAUGGACAUCAUCAACAUGACGAGAAACUCUGCGUUUGGCCUCAUUAAUAGUUUAGCUCGUCUCGUCUUUGUACGUUUGUUUUUCUAAUUAGACGAGGGGGUUACUUUUUUCUUUCUUGUUUUUUACUUGAUAAGUAAAAUGAACAUUUAGACGUUGGCGACACGCGCGCAAACUCAUUGCGCUUCAUCAUUCUUUGCGCUUUGACGAUGCGUUGCGGACUGAGAGGAAGGAUGGCGAUGACCCUGACGAAGACAGCGAAUCUCAUCACUGCACUGGUUUUUGUUUUCCAGUUACAAAUAAGCUUCACGACGCUUAAAUCCGCUUAUGGAGUCUACCGUCCUGACACACAGGGGCUGUCUCCUCCAGAGGUUCGGCCGUAUGGAGUUGCAGGGAACAACCGGCCUAGGGAGAGGAGUCCCAGGUCCGGGGCCCCCGGCUGGGCUGCAGAUAAGAGGGGCCACUACAGAGACCAGCACAAACCAGAGGACUCGGAUCCAGACCUGCUGUUGGAUGAGGGGCACAACAAUUCUACACAGAUUGUGGACAUUGAUCAUGCUUAUUAUACAUCUAAACUCUACGGUUCUGAAGACGCGGCCAGUAAAGAGCUGUGGGUGAACAUCGAC
rnacentral:lncRNA from 1 species